ACGCUGGCGGCAGGCCUAACACAUGCAAGUCGAGCGGUAGAGAGAAGCUUGCUUCUCUUGAGAGCGGCGGACGGGUGAGUAAUGCCUAGGAAUCUGCCUGGUAGUGGGGGAUAACGUUCGGAAACGGACGCUAAUACCGCAUACGUCCUACGGGAGAAAGCAGGGGACCUUCGGGCCUUGCGCUAUCAGAUGAGCCUAGGUCGGAUUAGCUAGUUGGUGGGGUAAUGGCUCACCAAGGCGACGAUCCGUAACUGGUCUGAGAGGAUGAUCAGUCACACUGGAACUGAGACACGGUCCAGACUCCUACGGGAGGCAGCAGUGGGGAAUAUUGGACAAUGGGCGAAAGCCUGAUCCAGCCAUGCCGCGUGUGUGAAGAAGGUCUUCGGAUUGUAAAGCACUUUAAGUUGGGAGGAAGGGCGGUAAAUUAAUACUUUGCUGUUUUGACGUUACCGACAGAAUAAGCACCGGCUAACUCUGUGCCAGCAGCCGCGGUAAUACAGAGGGUGCAAGCGUUAAUCGGAAUUACUGGGCGUAAAGCGCGCGUAGGUGGUUCGUUAAGUUGGAUGUGAAAUCCCCGGGCUCAACCUGGGAACUGCAUUCAAAACUGACGAGCUAGAGUAUGGUAGAGGGUGGUGGAAUUUCCUGUGUAGCGGUGAAAUGCGUAGAUAUAGGAAGGAACACCAGUGGCGAAGGCGACCACCUGGACUGAUACUGACACUGAGGUGCGAAAGCGUGGGGAGCAAAC
rnacentral:rRNA from 1 species